CCAAUAGCGUAUAUUAAAGUUGUUGCAGUUAAAAAGCUCGUAGUUGAAUUUCGGGAUCAAUAUGUCGGUCGUGCCUUCGGUACGUACUGGCAUCAUUGGUUUCUCCCUUCUGACAAACCAUGAUGUCAUUAAUUUGGUGUUAUGGGGAAUCAGGACUGUUACCUUGAAAAAAUUAGAGUGUUUAAAGCAGGCUAACGCUUGAAUACAUUAGCAUGGAAUAAUGAAAUAGGACGUUCGAACCUAUUUUGUUGGUUUCUAGGAUCGACGUAAUGAUUAAUAGGGAUAGUUGGGGGCAUUAGUAUUCAAUUGUCAGAGGUGAAAUUCUUGGAUUUAUUGAAGACUAACUACUGCGAAAGCAUUUGCCAAGGAUGUUUUCAUUAAUCAAGAACGAAAGUUAGGGGAUCGAAGACGAUCAGAUACCGUCGUAGUCUUAACCAUAAACUAUGCCGACUAGGGAUCGGAUGAUGUUAAUUUUUUAAUGACUCAUUCGGCGCCUUACG
rnacentral:rRNA from 1 species